rnacentral:rRNA from 1 species
GACGUAGGGCGCGAGCGUUGUCCGGAUUUAUUGGGCGUAAAGAGCUCGUAGGCGGCUUGUCGCGUCGUCCGUGAAAACCUGCAGCUUAACUGUGGGCCUGCGGCCGAUACGGGCAGACUUGAGUUCGGUAGGGGAGACUGGAAUUCCUGGUGUAGCGGUGAAAUGCGCAGAUAUCAGGAGGAACACCGGUGGCGAAGGCGGGUCUCUGGGCCGAUACUGACGCUGAGGAGCGAAAGCGUGGGGAGCGAACAGG